AAGCUGAGCAUGGCUGGGCUUGGUUAAAACCCUGGAUGGGAGACC
rnacentral:rRNA from 1 species